UUGUCCCAAGGGAAUUUUGCGUCCUUCGUUUCCUUGGAAGGCGCUGGUGCCCCCUGGAGGCAGCUGGCCUCCCCUGCAGGCCACUUCUCUGCAGAGAAAGGAUUCCCACGCCCUGGCUAUUUGCAUAACUUAUUUUCUCCUUUUUGUAGUAGAAGUCACGAGGAAGUCUAACGAUCAUACAGCAAGAUAUAACUCCCAAAGAAUAAAUCUUUUAUUUAAAAAAUAACUCAUUUCCGGAUGUGUUUUGAUUUGUGCCGCUUCCUCAGAGAGAAGAACUUUUGGAAACCAGUUUUGAAGGCGGGGAGGGUGGAGGCAGUGCAUGCUGGGAGGAGGAUUGGGGGUCUUUAAAUUCGACUUCUUCCCUGGCUGUCUUGUGUUUUCCCGGAGACAGGAAGCCAGCGGCCUCUGUCGCCUGCUAUUCUAAACUGCUUGGACUAGGAAGCUGUGUUCAAUGCCUGCGCCCUGGUUAAUAAGGCAGCAGGGAAGUCCUCAGGCCGGGCGGCCGCUAACUCUAUAAGGACCACGAGGUGUGAGAUGGUGCCCUCUGUGGGCACGAGGGAGACAGGCUUCCCUGCCCAGGAGCGUGUUGGGGCUGCAUCGUUGUCCUUUGUGAGCCGCGUCCUCUCCUUGCCCUGAAACUGUGUAGCAUAGCCAGGGCCCCCGCUGACACACAGACGUGGCAAGGGGCUGUGUGGGCAGGACCCGGGACGCGGGAGACAAAAGGGUGAGAGAGUUGGGAGAAGAGGUGGGGUUCUCUCCUCCUGCUCCAGCCCAGCCUUAGAGAGGAGCCACGAGGUCUUCCAGGGCCCCCUCACACUCCUUUCUGGAUGGAGCAUCUCACUGCUGUGGGGCUGGACUCUGCUGCCCUGGGGGGUGGAACCAGUCUUCAGCAGGGAUCUCAAGGGUGAAGGUCACCGUUUUUUGCUCUUUCCUAACUACAUAGAGUCUGGUGGAGGAGUGGCUUAGUCCUGCCACAGCGCACCUGAACAUGGGCCCCCCAGCACCCAGAGCCGCCUCCCUGGACCCUGGCCACCGUGGCCCUGUGCUGCCAGCCCCUUGUCAGGAAGCAGAGUCUUCAGUCUCCAAGCAGGUGACAGUGCAAGAAGGCUGAGGUCAGGAAGCUUGACCCUUUCACUUGGCCUGCUCACCUCUGUGCCUCUUCUAAGACCAGGCCCAGGACCUAUUCAUGAUGUGGUGGAAACAGCGGGCGCCUCGGAGCCAGACACAUGUGGGUUCAGAUCUCGUCUGCUCCCUCCCCAGCUGCCCGAGACAGUGCAAUUCGUUGUAAGAAAACAAGCCUGUGGCUGAUUAGAGCAGAAAGGGGUGUCUUGAGAGGAGCCUGGGCUGCCUACUGUGUGUACGGGUAGGCUAGGGGCCCAGGCUGGGCAGUGGGCGGGACAAGGAGCUACUGGACAGGAUCUCAAUCACGGUCGGGCCAGGGAAACACCUCUUGGGGAUGCUGCUGCUCCCGCCCCUGCUGACGGCAGGCAUGGUCGUGCUGCCUUGUACACUAGGCACUGGCCACUCUGCUGUCCGGCUCCUUUGGG
rnacentral:lncRNA from 1 species